CCUACGGGAGGCAGCAGUGAGGAAUAUUGGUCAAUGGACGAGAGUCUGAACCAGCCAAGUAGCGUGAAGGAUGACUGCCCUAUGGGUUGUAAACUUCUUUUAUAAAGGGACAAAAUCAGGCUCGAGAGCCUGACCGAGGGUACUUGAAGAAAAAGCAUCGGCUAACUCCGUGCCAGCAGCCGCGGUAAUACGGAGGAUGCGAGCGUUAUCCGGAUUUAUUGGGUUUAAAGGGUGCGUAGGCGGACUGUUAAGUCAGCGGUAAAAGCCCGGGGCUCAACCCCGGCGAGCCGUUGAAACUGGCUGUCUUGAGAUGUCGAGAGGUAUGCGGAAUGCGCAGUGUAGCGGUGAAAUGCUUAGAUAUUGCGCAGAACUCCGAUUGCGAAGGCAGCAUACCGGCGGCGAUCUGACGCUGAGGCACGAAAGCGUGGGUAUCGAACAGGAUUAGAUACCCUAGUAGUC
rnacentral:rRNA from 1 species